rfam:Cricetulus griseus cell line CHO-K1, whole genome shotgun sequence.
GGGGAGAUGGCUCAGCUGUUAAGAGCACUGGCUGCUCUUACAGAGAACCUGGGUUCAAUUCCCAGUAUACCCA